AUCAAAGGUUGGCUGGGUCUGGUGCAGGCAGGACUGGUGGAUACUCUGGGAGAGGCAGCAGUUGACUACGUUUUGCACCGUCUUGGGUUGACUGAUGUUUUUGCAGGCCAAGCUUGCCAGCAUGAGAGUCUGGGAUGGCAUGGAAUAGAGUCAUGUCCUGAUAGUGUGCAGCUGCCAGCUCUUCCAUCGUCUGUAAACUGUUGGCCAAAUGACUUGUGUACUGGUGUCGCUUGCUGUAUGGACAUAGACCUUCUGGUCAAGAGCCUAGCCACUCAUGUGUGGCUGAUACUAGAUCCGUGUGAAUACCAAGUGUCUGCAGGCAUUGGUGGGAGGACGUUUCAACUGGAACUGUUCCAGUAUAA